rnacentral:lncRNA from 1 species
UGAGAUUCUGAGAGUCAUGAUAUAGGCAAAGGAUGAUAGAAAGAUCUAGAAGGAGGGGUUAACAACUUCAGUUUAGCACUUUCUGUAGAGAUAUCAUAAUUUCUGUGAAGAGAUAUCAUAAUUUUUAAGAAAAGAUGUCAUAAUUCUAUUUUCACAUAUAUUCAUCAUCUUUUUUUCUUCAGCUAUAUAUGAUAUCUUUGGAGUCAUGAUAUAGGCUAAGGAUGAUAGGA